GAAACUGAAAUGCAGCCUCCAAUAUUGCAUGAUAGUAGGAAUAAUCGGUACCGUCAUGAUCUGAUGAUCCAAUAUUUUGACUGGCUUCUACAAAAUUCCAAAAUUUCUCUUGACUGUCUUCUGCUAAAAACUCACUGGCUUCUAACAACAAUGGAGUGGAAAACCAUUUUGUUGUAAGAGAGGUUGUAAUGGCUUUUGAGUCGGCCUU
rnacentral:misc_RNA from 1 species